CAGCAGCCGCGGGAAUACGUAGGGUGCGAGCGUUAAUCGGAAUUACUGGGCGUAAAGCGUGCGCAGGCGGUUAUAUAAGACAGAUGUGAAAUCCCCGGGCUCAACCUGGGACCUGCAUUUGUGACUGUAUAGCUAGAGUACGGUAGAGGGGGAUGGAAUUCCGCGUGUAGCAGUGAAAUGCGUAGAUAUGCGGAGGAACACCGAUGGCGAAGGCAAUCCCCUGGACCUGUACUGACGCUCAUGCACGAAAGCGUGGGGAGCAAACAGGAUUAGAUACCCCUGUAGUCCCUGUCUCUUAUAC
rnacentral:rRNA from 1 species